GGGCCCGCACAAGCGGUGGAGCAUGUGGUUUAAUUCGAUGCAACGCGAAGAACCUUACCAGGACUUGACAUACUACGAAUUCUUCUGAGAAGAAGAAGUGCCUUCGGGAACGUAGAUACAGGUGGUGCAUGGCUGUCGUCAGCUCGUGUCGUGAGAUGUUGGGUUAAGUCCCGCAACGAGCGCAACCCUUAUUUUUAGUUACUAACUCGUUAGGUUCUCUAGAAAGACUGCCGGUGACAAACCGGAGGAAGGUGAGGAUGACGUCAAGUCAGCAUGCCCCUUAUGUCCUGGGCUACACACGUGCUACAAUGGUUAAGACAAAGAGUCGCGAGCUCGCGAGAGUCAGCUAAUCUCAUAAACCGUGGCUCAGUUCAGAUCGUAGGCUGCAACUCGCCUACGUGAAGGCGGAAUCGCUAGUAAUCG
rnacentral:rRNA from 1 species